UACGGGGGGGGCAAGCGUUGUUCGGAAUUACUGGGCGUAAAGAGCUCGUAGGCGGUUCAGUAAGUCGGGUGUGAAAACUCUGGGCUCAACCCAGAGACGCCACCCGAUACUGCUGUGACUUGAGUACGGUAGGGGAGUGGGGAAUUCCUGGUGUAGCGGUGAAAUGCGCAGAUAUCAGGAGGAACACCAGUGGCGAAGGCGCCACUCUGGGCCGUAACUGACGCUGAGGAGCGAAAGCGUGGGUAGCAAACAGG
rnacentral:rRNA from 1 species